CGGUGGAGCAUGUGGUUUAAUUCGAAGCAACGCGAAGAACCUUACCAGGUCUUGACAUCCCGAUGCUAUUCUAGAGAUAGAAAGUUACUUCGGUACAUCGGUGACAGGUGGUGCAUGGUUGUCGUCAGCUCGUGUCGUGAGAUGUUGGGUUAAGUCCCGCAACGAGCGCAACCCCUAUUGUUAGUUGCCAUCAUUCAGUUGGGCACUCUAGCGAGACUGCCGGUAAUAAACCGGAGGAAGGUGGGGAUGACGUCAAAUCAUCAUGCCCCUUAUGACCUGGGCUACACACGUGCUACAAUGGUUGGUACAACGAGUUGCGAGUCGGUGACGGCGAGCUAAUCUCUUAAAGCCAAUCUCAGUUCGGAUUGUAGGCUGCAACUCGCCUACAUGAAGUCGGAAUCGCUAGUAAUCGCGGAUCAGCACGCCGCGGUGAAUACGUUCCCGGGCCUU
rnacentral:rRNA from 1 species